UCUCCGUUGGUGAACCAGCGGAGGGAUCAUUGCCGAGUUUACAACUCCCAAACCCCUAUGUGAACGUUACCAAACUGUUGCCUCGGCGGGAAAUUCAUGCCCCGGGCGCGUCGCAGCCCCGGACCAAGGCGCCCGCCGGAGGACCAACCAAAACUCUUUUGUAUGUCCCUCGCGGACUUUUAUAAUUCUGAACCAUCUCGGCGCCCCUAGCGGGCGUUUCGAAAAUGAAUCAAAACUUUCAACAACGGAUCUCUUGGUUCUG
rnacentral:misc_RNA from 1 species